rnacentral:lncRNA from 1 species
AGCAGUGCUCAGACAAGAACUCUACCCAUUGAAGUCAACUGGGUAAAAAAGCAACUAAAUGCCAAUGAGGAGAUAGUUUCACUAAUCCCUACCAGGAAAUUAUACUACAGAGAAAUUUUUUUCUAAGAACACUUAGGAAGACCAAAGUGCAAAUUAAGUUUCACUGGAUGUCAUGCAAGGAAUCCUCAAGCUCAAAGAGCAUCUCUCCUCUCAAGUUUU